UACGUAGGGUCCGAGCGUUGUCCGGAAUUAUUGGGCGUAAAGAGCUCGUAGGCGGUCUGUUGCGUCGGCUGUGAAAACCCACGGCUCAACUGUGGGCUUGCAGUCGAUACGGGCAGGCUAGAGUUCGGUAGGGGAGACUGGAAUUCCUGGUGUAGCGGUGAAAUGCGCAGAUAUCAGGAGGAACACCGAUGGCGAAGGCAGGUCUCUGGGCCACUACUGACGCUGAGAAGCGAAAGCAUGGGGAGCGAACAGG
rnacentral:rRNA from 1 species